rnacentral:rRNA from 1 species
UCAGGCCUAACACAUGCAAGUCGAGCGGUAACAGGGGGUGCUUGCACCCCGCUGACGAGCGGCGGACGGGUGAGUAAUGCUUAGGAAUCUGCCCAGUAGUGGGGGACAACAGUCGGAAACGGCUGCUAAUACCGCAUACGCCCUACGGGGGAAAGCAGGGGAUCUUCGGACCUUGCGCUAUUGGAUGAGCCUAAGUCGGAUUAGCUAGUUGGUGGGGUAAAGGCCUACCAAGGCGACGAUCCGUAGCUGGUCUGAGAGGAUGAUCAGCCACAUCGGGACUGAGACACGGCCCGAACUCCUACGGGAGGCAGCAGUGGGGAAUAUUGGACAAUGGGGGCAACCCUGAUCCAGCCAUGCCGCGUGUGUGAAGAAGGCUUUCGGGUUGUAAAGCACUUUCAGCGAGGAGGAAGGCCUUAAAGUUAAUACCUUUAAGGG